GACGAACGCUGGCGGCGUGCUUAACACAUGCAAGUCGAACGGAAAGGCCCUUCGGGGUACUCGAGUGGCGAACGGGUGAGUAACACGUGGGUGAUCUGCCCUGCACUUUGGGAUAAGCCUGGGAAACUGGGUCUAAUACCGAAUAGGACCACGCGCUUCAUGGUGUGUGGUGGAAAGCUUUUGCGGUGUGGGAUGGGCCCGCGGCCUAUCAGCUUGUUGGUGGGGUAAUGGCCUACCAAGGCGACGACGGGUAGCCGGCCUGAGAGGGUGACCGGCCACACUGGGACUGAGAUACGGCCCAGACUCCUACGGGAGGCAGCAGUGGGGAAUAUUGCACAAUGGGCGCAAGCCUGAUGCAGCGACGCCGCGUGAGGGAUGACGGCCUUCGGGUUGUAAACCUCUUUCAAUAGGGACGAAGCGCAAGUGACGGUACCUAUAGAAGAAGCACCGGCCAACUACGUGCCAGCAGCCGCGGUAAUACGUAGGGUGCGAGCGUUGUCCGGAAUUACUGGGCGUAAAGAGCUCGUAGGUGGUUUGUCGCGUUGUUCGUGAAAACUCACAGCUUAACUGUGGGCGUGCGGGCGAUACGGGCAGACUAGAGUACUGCAGGGGAGACUGGAAUUCCUGGUGUAGCGGUGGAAUGCGCAGAUAUCAGGAGGAACACCGGUGGCGAAGGCGGGUCUCUGGGCAGUAACUGACGCUGAGGAGCGAAAGCGUGGGGAGCGAACAGGAUUAGAUACCCUGGUAGUCCACGCCGUAAACGGUGGGUACUAGGUGUGGGUUCCUUCCUUGGGAUCCGUGCCGUAGCUAACGCAUUAAGUACCCCGCCUGGGGAGUACGGCCGCAAGGCUAAAACUCAAAGGAAUUGACGGGGGCCCGCACAAGCGGCGGAGCAUGUGGAUUAAUUCGAUGCAACGCGAAGGACCUUACCUGGGUUUGACAUGCACAGGACGCCGGCAGAGAUGUCGGUUCCCUUGUGGCCUGUGUGCAGGUGGUGCAUGGCUGUCGUCAGCUCGUGUCGUGAGAUGUUGGGUUAAGUCCCGCAACGAGCGCAACCCUUGUCCUAUGUUGCCAGCGGGUUAUGCCGGGGACUCGUAGGAGACUGCCGGGGUCAACUCGGAGGAAGGUGGGGAUGACGUCAAGUCAUCAUGCCCCUUAUGUCCAGGGCUUCACACAUGCUACAAUGGCCGGUACAAAGGGCUGCGAUGCCGUGAGGUGGAGCGAAUCCUUUCAAAGCCGGUCUCAGUUCGGAUCGGGGUCUGCAACUCGACCCCGUGAAGUCGGAGUCGCUAGUAAUCGCAGAUCAGCAACGCUGCGGUGAAUACGUUCCCGGGCCU
rnacentral:rRNA from 1 species